UACGUAGGGUGCAAGCGUUGUCCGGAAUUAUUGGGCGUAAAGAGCUCGUAGGCGGUUUGUCGCGUCUGCUGUGAAAACCCCGAGGCUCAACCUCGGGCCUGCAGUGGGUACGGGCAGACUAGAGUGCGGUAGGGGAGAUUGGAAUUCCUGGUGUAGCGGUGGAAUGCGCAGAUAUCAGGAGGAACACCAAUGGCGAAGGCAGAUCUCUGGGCCGUAACUGACGCUGAGGAGCGGAAAGCAUGGGGAGCGAACAGG
rnacentral:rRNA from 1 species